CGCCGGUUUUUUUUUUGGAAUUUUGUCCCUUUUUUGCACUCUGAUCCCGCCACAGCAUCCCACGAAGGGGACACGGGCAGCUCCUGUCCCAGGGUGGGGUGGGACACGGCAGGGGUGGGGAUUGUCCUGCCUUGGACAGGGGGAGAUCCCAAACUCGAUCCCAAAUCCGGGUCUGAAUUCCCUGGGAGGAGCUGCCUUACAGGGGAAUCAGACCCUUUUCCCAUAGGGAAAUCCUUCCAGGAGGAUCAGACCCUUUUUCCAUGGGGAAAUCUCAAUCCUGAAUCUGGAUCUGAACCCACCGAAAGGAGCAUCCUUCCAGAAGGAUCAGACCCUUUUUCCAUGGGGAAAUCCCAAUCCCAAAUCUGGAUCUGAACCCACUGAAAGGAGCUUCCCUACAGGGGGGAUCAGACCCUUUUUCCAUAGGGAAAUCCUUCCAGGAG
rnacentral:lncRNA from 1 species